GCUCGUGUAGCUCAGUGGUUAGAGCUUCGUGCUUAUAGAUGUUUUCCGGAGUGUCAACUUUCUGUGUCCAAGGUUUUUCAAUCAGACCUUUAAAGCAACGCGACCGUCGUGGGUUCAAACCCCACCUCGAGCA
rnacentral:tRNA from 1 species